CACAGGAACAAAUCUAGGUCUCAAGAGACCAUUCUUAUCAUCAUCUAAAAUAGGCUGCAACAGAUCAGGAGGAGAAGAGAGCUCAUGAUAACCCAGCUUAGCUAGGAAAAUUGUCGCAUGUUUCACUUCACUUGGAGAUGGAGCAGUUCAAAGGCCAGUCUCGGCUGCCGAAAUUCGCCGUGCCGAAACGAUACGAUAUAACUCUCAAACCGGACCUCACCGGCUGCAGUUUCGGCGGCUCCGUCGCCGUCCACCUCGACAUCGUCUGCGAUACCCGGUUCAUCGUCCUCAACGCCGCCGACCUCUCCGUCGAUGCCGCCUCCGUGUCUUUCGCUUCCUCCAAGGUACUUUUCAAGCCUUGGAAAGUUGAGACAUUUGAAGAAGAUGGGAUUUUGGUUCUGGAGUUUGGAGAGACGCUUCCGGUUGGUUCGGGAGUUUUGGGUAUUGGGUUUGAAGGAAUUUUGAAUGACAAGAUGAAGGGGUUCUACACAAGUACAUAUGAGCAUAAUGGUGAGAAGAAAAAUAUGGCCGUUACACAGUUUGAACCGGUUGAUGCCAGACGGUGCUUUCCAUGCUGGGAUGAGCCUGCUUGGAAGGCUACAUUCAAGAUUAGAUUGGAUGAUGUUCCAUCUGAAUUAGUAGCUCUCUCCAACAUGCCGGUUGUAGAAGAAAAAGUGCAUGGACAUCUGAAGACAGUUUCAUUUCAAGAAUCACCAAUCAUGUCUACAUAUUUGGUGGCCGUUGUUGUUGGGUUGUUUGAUUAUGUUGAAGAUCGUACAUCUGAUGGGGUCAAAGUGCGGGUCUAUUGUCAAGUUGGUAAGGCGAACCAAGGGAAGUUUGCUUUGAACGUUGCUGCCAAGACUCUUGAAUUUUACAGAGAUUACUUUUCUGUGCCAUACUCUUUGCCCAAAUUGGAUAUGGUUGCAAUCCCUGAUUUUCCUGGUGCCAUGGAAAAUUAUGGUUUAGUUACAUACCAAGAAACAGAUUUGCUCUUUGAUGAACAGCAUUCUGCAGCUGCCAACAAACAACGGGUUGCAACUGUCGUGGCACAUGAAUUGGCACACCAGUGGUUUGGCAAUCUUGUAACGAUGGAAUGGUGGACACAUUUAUGGCUGAACGAGGGAUUUGCGACAUGGGUGAGCUAUUUAGCUACUGAUAGCUUGUUCCCAGAGUGGAAAAUGUGGACUAAAUUUCUUGAUGAAAUUACUCGGGGUCUUAAGCUGGAUGGGCUUGAAGGAUCUCACCCCAUUGAGGUGGAAAUCAAUCAUGCUUCUGAGGUUGAUGAAAUAUUUGAUGCAAUAAGUUAUAGAAAAGGAGCUUCUGUUAUCCAGAUGCUACAAAACUAUCUUGGUGCUGAAUGCUUCCAGGUUGGUCCUUUGAGGUCACUUGCUUCAUACAUAACAAAGCAUGCUUCCUCAAAUGCAAAGACAGAAGAUUUAUGGGCUGCACUUCAGGAGGGAUCUGGUGAACCUGUGAACAAGCUAAUGAAUUCAUGGACACAGCAAAAGGGUUACCCGGUUAUUUCUGUCAAAGUCAAAGAUCAGAAAUUGGAGUUUGACCAGACACAAUUCUACUCGAGUGGUUCCCAAGGUGAUGGGCAAUGGAUUGUGCCAAUAACAUUAUGCUCUGGCUCAUAUGAUGUACGCAAAAGUUUCCUACUACAAAAGAAGUCCGAAACUUUUGAUGUAAAGGAAUUUCUGGGUUGCUCCAUAGCAGGGACUGGAUGCAGAGGCUCAUUAUGUAGUUGGAUAAAAGUCAAUGUGGAUCAGACUGGUUUUUACAGGGUGAAAUAUGAGGAGGAACUUUCAGCUGCACUUAGAAGUGCGAUAGAAAAGAAACACUUGUCUGCAACUGACAGAUUCGGAGUUUUGGAUGAUUCAUUUGCCCUUUCUAUGGCUUGCCAGCAGUCGUUUGCUUCACUGCUUACCUUGCUGGGUGCUUACAGAGAGGAACUUGACUGUACAGUGCUGUCACAUUUGAUUCCCAUAAGUUAUAAGCUGGCAACAAUUGCCGCUGAUGCUGUGCCCGACCUACUGGAUCUCAUUAAUCAAUUAUUUAUUGGCCUUUUCCAGUACUCUGCAGAGAAGCUUAGUUGGGAGCCUAAAAGCGGUGAGAGCCAUUUAGAUGCAAUGCUGAGGGGAGACAUUUUGACUGCCCUUGCUGUGUUUGGGCAUGACCUGACAAUAGAUGAAGCAAGUAGGCGUUUUCAUGCCUUCUUAGAUGACAGAAAUACACCACUCCUUCCUCCGGACAUAAGAAAGGCAGUGUAUGUGGCUGUAAUGCAAAGAGUAAGCAUGUCUAAAAGAUCGGGCUAUGAAUCUCUUCUUAGAGUUUACAGAGAGACUGAUCUAAGGGAGGAGAAAACCCGCAUUUUAAGAUCACUAGCGUCUUGUCCAGAUCCCAACAUAAUACUGGAAUUUCUCAACUUCUUAUUGUCUUCUGAGUUUGAUGAUCCCAUCUAUGUAGGUCCGCAGACAGGAUGCAGCCCUUGGGCUUUCUGUUAGUAGUAAAGGGCGGGAAACAGCUUGGACGUGGCUGAAGGAUAACUGGGAGCACAUCUCAGAGACCUGGAGUUCUGGAUAUCUGCUUCGCUUUGUCAGUGCCAUCAUUUCACCGUUGGCUUCAUUCGAGAAGGUUAAGGAAGUAGAUGAGUUCUUCAAAGUCCAUCCCGACCCCUCCAUAACGAGAACAUUGAAGCAGAGCAUUGAGUGGGUACAGAUUAACGCCAAGUGGGUUCAGAGUGUUGGGAGUGAGAAAAAUCUUGCCGAUAUUGUGAAGGAGUUGGCGCACAGGAAAUACUAGGCUCCAUAUUUAAGCUUCUUCUGUUAUGGAAGGAGAAAUCUGGAUUUUGAAAGUUAUCUAACUUAAAUUUCCCAAACGAAGAAUAAAUGUACUGUGUAUUGAACACAAGUGACAAAGAUAGCAUGAUGAUUUAUAAGUGGCAAUUUAAGUUUCAACUA